rnacentral:lncRNA from 1 species
AGACAAAUCAUAUAACUAGUUGCUUAUGGUCAUCUGUCCCAGUCCUAAUCUUCUUGAAGUCAAUACCGUUGAUGAGUUCAACAAUAUUGAGAACGGGACUGAUUCUGUUGGCAGCUGAGAAGAGGAUUGGUUCUACUUGGAGGUUGAGUCAACUAAGAGGAAGCACUUCCCUUUCCUGGAUGUCAGUGAGGAUUUGAGCCUCAGUGACCCAAGAUGCUAGACAGUGUUCCACACUGGCUCACUCAGCUUCUCCUGGGCUUAGGUCACCUGCAGUUCCUGGGAUGUCAGUGAGAUCUCUCUGUGGAAGCCUCGGAGCCUGACCCUUCUGAAGAAGUGCGAAGAUGAUGUGUGUGAUGCUUUUGCUGGUUUCUUCUGGUUUCUUUUCCUUACAGCACAAGUGUUGUUUUCCUGUGCAGAACUGCAGAUCUCCAGCUGUGGGAGGAGUAGCAGAGACUUACCUCCUCUCCAUUUGAAAAAAAUAGAUGCGUCCAUGGAGGUGGCUUUUUAGAGAAGGAUGCAGGAUAUAUAAUCCUCUGGACCCUCUCCUGAUUUCUUUUUAAUUUAUUUAUUCCUUCAACUUUAUGAAUUAAGUUUACUUCAAAUAAAGAAAAACAGCCUCCAACUUUUGGAUUUCA